rnacentral:rRNA from 1 species
GACGAACGCUGGCGGCGUGCUUAACACAUGCAAGUCGAACGGAAAGGCCCUGCUUUUGUGGGGUGCUCGAGUGGCGAACGGAUGAGUAACACGAGAGUAACCUGCCCUUGACUUUGGGAUAACUUCAGGAAACUGGGGCUAAUACCGGAUAGGAGCUCCUGCUGCAUGGUGGGGGUUGGAAAGUUUCGGCGGUUGGGGAUGGACUCGCGGCUUAUCAGCUUGUUGGUGGGGUAGUGGCUUACCAAGGCUUUGACGGGUAGCCGGCCUGAGAGGGUGACCGGCCACAUUGGGACUGAGAUACGGCCCAGACUCCUACGGGAGGCAGCAGUGGGGAAUAUUGCACAAUGGGCGGAAGCCUGAUGCAGCAACGCCGCGUGCGGGAUGCCGGCCUUCGGGUUGUAAACCGCUUUCGCCUGUGACGAAGCGUGAGUGACGGUAAUGGGUAAAGAAGCACCGGCUAACUACGUGCCAGCAGCCGCGGUGAUACGUAGGGUGCGAGCGUUGUCCGGAUUUAUUGGGCGUAAAGGGCUCGUAGGUGGUUGAUCGCGUCGGAAGUGUAAUCUUGGGGCUUAACCCUGAGCGUGCUUUCGAUACGGGUUGACUUGAGGAAGGUAGGGGAGAAUGGAAUUCCUGGUGGAGCGGUGGAAUGCGCAGAUAUCAGGAGGAACACCAGUGGCGAAGGCGGUUCUCUGGGCCUUUCCUGACGCUGAGGAGCGAAAGCGUGGGGAGCGAACAGGCUUAGAUACCCUGGUAGUCCACGCUGUAAACGGUGGGUACUAGGUGUGGGGUCCAUUCCACGGGUUCCGUGCCGUAGCUAACGCUUUAAGUACCCCGCCUGGGGAGUACGGCCGCAAGGCUAAAACUCAAAGGAAUUGACGGGGCCCCGCACAAGCGGCGGAGCAUGCGGAUUAAUUCGAUGCAACGCGUAGAACCUUACCUGGGUUUGACAUGGAUCGGGAGUGCUCAGAGAUGGGUGUGCCUCUUUUGGGGUCGGUUCACAGGUGGUGCAUGCCUGUCGUCAGCUCGUGUCGUGAGAUGUUGGGUUAAGUCCCGCAACGAGCGCAACCCUUGUUCACUGUUGCCAGCACGUUAUGGUGGGGACUCAGUGGAGACCGCCGGGGUCAACUCGGAGGAAGGUGGGGAUGACGUCAAGUCAUCAUGCCCCUUAUGUCCAGGGCUUCACGCAUGCUACAAUGGCUGGUACAGAGAGUGGCGAGCCUGUGAGGGUGAGCGAAUCUCGGAAAGCCGGUCUCAGUUCGGAUUGGGGUCUGCAACUCGACCUCAUGAAGUCGGAGUCGCUAGUAAUCGCAGAUCAGCAACGCUGCGGUGAAUACGUUCCCGGGGCU